rnacentral:rRNA from 1 species
AUACGGAGGGUGCAAGCGUUAUUCGGAAUCACUGGGCGUAAAGGACGCGUAGGCGGGUUGGCAAGUCAGAUGUGAAAUCCUACAGCUUAACUGUAGAACUGCAUUUGAAACUGCUAACCUAGAGUAUGGGAGGGGGAGAUGGAAUUAGUGGUGUAGGGGUAAAAUCCGUAGAUAUCACUAGGAAUACCGAAAGCGAAGGCGAUCUCCUGGAACAAUACUGACGCUAAGGCGUGAAAGCGUGGGGAGCAAACAGGAUUAGAUACCCUAGUAGUCC